rnacentral:rRNA from 1 species
CGUAGGUGGCAAGCGUUGUCCGGAAUUAUUGGGCGUAAAGGGCGCGCAGGCGGUUCGGUAAGUCUGUCUUAAAAGUGCGGGGCUUAACCCCGUGAGGGGACGGAAACUGUCGAACUUGAGUGUCGGAGAGGAAAGCGGAAUUCCUAGUGUAGCGGUGAAAUGCGUAGAUAUUAGGAGGAACACCGGUGGCGAAAGCGGCUUUCUGGACGACAACUGACGCUGAGGCGCGAAAGCGUGGGAGCAAACAGGAUU